rnacentral:tRNA from 1 species
AUAAUAAUAAUUAAAGUUAUAUUAUUUUAUUUUUAUUUAUAAAAUAUUAUAAAUAAUAUUUAAAAGUUUAGUUUAUUUAUUUUAUUUAUUUAUUUAUUUAAAAAUAAAAAGCUAUAAAAAGUUAUUUUUUAACCUUAAAAAAAUAAUAAAAAUUUACCUAAAAUUAGCUUAUAAAUAUAAUAUUUUUAUUAUUAAUAAUUUUUUUAAAUAUAUUAAAUUAAAAUUUUAUUUUUUAAU